rnacentral:lncRNA from 1 species
CAACAGAGGGCUUCAAAAACAAUAGAUUAAAGCAUGAUUAAAUCAAUCAAUCAAUCAAUUAAUAAGUGAAAAUUAAAUUAAAAUCAAAGCAACAAUUAACAUCUGUUCAACCUUCUCUGUAUAUCAUGUAUAUAUAUAUUUUUUAAAUAAGAAGAUCUCAGAUCAUGUAGAAUAGAUCAUGCAGUUGUUUUAACCGCCUCUCUUCAGUGUAUCUUCGGUGAUUAGGAUUAUUAUUAAUAUCAAAUUGAAAAUAUAUUUAUCAUCCAACUAGGAUUAGCAUUGGAAUCAAAAUGAUCUUACUUCAAUAAAUCUAAAACUAUUCUAAUAACAUCACAAUUUAACCAUAUAAAAUGUGAUAUAUAUUGCGUUGGUGUAUAUAUAUAUAUAUAUAUAUAUGUAAGAGCAUCAUUUCAAUUCAUUAACAGAAUAAAUAGAUCCAAACAAAGAACGCAGAAGACAAAUGUGCAUUACUUUUUAAAUAAAUAAAUAAAACUUAUAAUAAGUUAAAUAGAAGACAAAUGUAUGAAAAUCAAUAAAUUGCUUAGUAUUGAUACUGAAAAUCUUAUCAAAUCAAUCAUAUUAUUUGAUAUCUGCCAUGACGUUUUUUGGUUUUACCGUAGUUUUUUCUAUAUUCGAUAGCUUUCUUUAUUUAUAUUUUUUGUUUGAAUUUAAAUAUCUAUAUUAUUUUAAAUAAUGACCACACUUUGAAAGGAAAUAUCAAUGUAAUUUUCUGGCUAUAAAUGUUUGGUGCAAAUACAUUAAACAUUUACUGUAAAUGUAAAUCAGUUCUACAUGCACAAUUAUGUCUACUAUGCAUGAAUGAUAUAUCUAUUUUUUUCAAAUAUAUAACAUGACCAUAGAAUCAUAUCUGCUCAAAUCAGGUCUUUGAGUUACAAGGUGAAAAAAAAAGCAUAAAAUACGAAAACACAAAUCAAACACAAAUAUAAAAAACAUUAUUUUGUGUUGGUGAUACCACAGAUGAUUCCUACUCGUAAUCCUUUCAAAUUUCUGUAAAUGUCUAAUUAAUUAGUUUCACCAAUGUCUGAUCAAAGGAGCAAGAUUUAUGGUUUUUAAUAAAUAUGAUGAUAAGAUUGCCAUUCCUCAAAUGUAAAGAAAUGGCAACAUGUGUUCUUAUUAAAUGUUAAAUAUUUAUGAAGAUGUGAAAAUAACUUGGUAGCAUUGGUGCACAAGUGCACAAAGAAAAGGUUACUUUAACAAUAGAUAAACAUGCCAGAUUUGAAGUGUGUUUUAUAAAAUGGAAGGUUGAAUUUUCAAAAUACAAACCAGUCGUUGAAUGUUUUGAAACACAGUGUUGAAAUUGGUCAAUCAUCAAACUUGGAAUACAAAAAAAAUAAAAUAAAAUAAAAUAAAAAAUAUAUGGGUUUGUUUUUAUCAUUCAAUGUAUGAAUGGGUAGAAAGAACUCAUGCUUCAUGUUCAAAUAAAUAAAAAUUUGGAGUAAUCACUUUACUUUCAAGGAGAAAAAUUAAAUAAAAAAUGUCACCAUGCCACAAUUAUUCAACUCUUUGAACACCACCCACUGAAAGAUUUACCUCAUAUUUACAGGUGUACUUCAAAUAUCAAACAUUACUUUGAAAACAUUAAAUGAAUUUAAUUACGUCAUAAAUGUAUCAUCAUUAUCAUUCAACUUGGUUGACUAUUUACAUGGGGCCCCUCAUAAAUCGUUUCAAAUGUUGGAUGUGUUGCAUUGAAGAACCAGAGUCUAGAAGAUUUAUCAAAUAAUAUUUGAAUAUUCAAAGAAUCCUUACGUUUUAUUUUAUUUUAUUUGUUUAUGCCACACCUUUACCAUCACUAAAUACACAUAUCUUACUAUUUUUUUGUCAUUCAUACCAUGACAGCAUUGACUAGUUGAACCCUUUGU